rnacentral:tRNA from 1 species
GCGGAGGUGCCGGAGCGGCCAAACGGGAUAGACUCAAGAUCUAUUGGCUUAGUGCCUACGCAGGUUCAAAUCCUGUCCUCCGCA